rnacentral:rRNA from 1 species
UACAGAGGGUGCAAGCGUUAAUCGGAAUUACUGGGCGUAAAGCGUGCGUAGACGGUUAUUUAAGUCAGGUGUGAAAGCCCCGGGCUCAACCUGGGAAUUGCAUUUGAGACUGAAUAGCUGGAGUGCGGCAGAGGGGGAUGGAAUUCCGCGUGUAGCAGUGAAAUGCGUAGAUAUGCGGAGGAACACCGAUGGCGAAGGCAAUCCCCUGGGCCUGCACUGACGCUCAUGCACGAAAGCGUGGGGAGCAAACAGG